rnacentral:tRNA from 1 species
GGGAAUGUAGUUCAGUGAAAAAUGACUUGUCUGGCAUACACAAGGUCUUGGGUUCCAUCCCCAGCAUUCCCC